rnacentral:rRNA from 1 species
ACGCUGGCGGCGUGCCUAAUACAUGCAAGUCGAACGGUCUUUCUAUGGAAGCUUGCUUCCACUGAGAAGAUAGUGGCGAACGGGUGAGUAACACGUGGGUAACCUGCCCAUAAGAGGGGGAUAACAUCCGGAAACGGGUGCUAAUACCGCAUAGUUUUCUUGAUCGCAUGAUCGGGAAGGAAAGACGGCCUUUGUGCUGUCGCUUAUGGAUGGACCCGCGGCGUAUUAGUUAGUUGGUGAGGUAAUGGCUCACCAAGACGAUGAUACGUAGCCGACCUGAGAGGGUGAUCGGCCACAUUGGGACUGAGACACGGCCCAAACUCCUACGGGAGGCAGCAGUAGGGAAUCUUCCGCAAUGGACGAAAGUCUGACGGAGCAACGCCGCGUGAGUGAAGAAGGUUUUCGGAAUCGUAAAACUCUGUUGUCAGAGAAGAACAAGUUGGAGAGUAACUGCUCCAGCCUUGACGGUAUCUGACCAGAAAGCCACGGCUAACUACGUGCCAGCAGCAGC